rnacentral:rRNA from 1 species
UACGUAGGGGGCGAGCGUUAAUCGGAAUUACUGGGCGUAAAGCGCGCGUAGGCGGUUUUGUAAGCCAGAUGUGAAAUCCCCGGGCUUAACCUGGGAAUGGCAUUUGGGACUGGAAGGCUGGAGUUUGGCAGAGGAGACUGGAAUUCCCGGUGUAGCAGUGAAAUGCGUAGAUAUCGGGAGGAAUACCGAUGGCGAAGGCAGGUCUCUGGGCUAUAACUGACGCUCAUGCACGAAAGCGUGGGGAGCAAACAGG